rnacentral:rRNA from 1 species
AUGGUUAGAUGAAAAAUAUACUUUCUUUGCUUUAUAUGGAAAAAUUAAUUUUUUAUUUAAAAAGAUAAAAUGUUUUUAUAGGACGAGAAGACCCUAUAGAACUUUACUUUUAAUAUAUAUAUAUUUUAUAUAUUUUUAUAAAUAUAUAUAUUGAUAUUAGUUGUGUUGGGGUGAUGGAAAAAUUUAUAUAACUUUUUCUAUUUUUUGCAUUUAUUUAUGUUUUUUUGAUCCUUUAUUAUGGAUAAUAAGAUUAAGUUACCUUAGGGAUAACAGCGUUAUUUUUUUGGAGAGUUCUUAUCAAUAAAAAAGUUUGCGACCUCGAUGUUGGAUUAAAAUAAGUUGCAGGGGUAUAAUAUUGUU